AUAAUGAGGUGAUGUACGAUGCGUUAUUUAGAACCGUUCAUGUGCGUCAUUGCUGUGAGAAAGGAAGGAGAGAAUGCGCUUAGUGGCAUGCUUAAAAAUGUCAUUGGAACUCUUGAUUUUCGUUUCAAGUACAUGUUACAGGGGGAGACUUAUCCUGAGGAAUUUUUAUAGACAGAUGUGUAUCGGUUUAGCACCUAACAUGGCAUAAUCUCAAACAUAAUUGUUGCCAAAAGUGCACGUCAACAAGGUAUAAAGCAGUUAUACUUACAUGUCUAUCGGGAUAACAAACCAGCAUUAACACUAUACAUAAAGAUGGGAUUUGGGGUA